rnacentral:rRNA from 1 species
GUCGGCUCAUCGCAUCCUGGGGCUGUAGUCGGUCCCAAGGGUUGGGCUGUUCGCCCAUUAAAGCGGUACGCGAGCUGGGUUCAGAACGUCGUGAGACAGUUCGGUCCCUAUCCGUCGUGGGCGCAGGAAAUUUGAGAGGAUCUGUCCUUAGUACGAGAGGACCGGGAUGGACAUACCUCUGGUGUACCAGUUGUUCUGCCAAGAGCACCGCUGGGUAGCUACGUAUGGAUUAGAUAAUCGCUGAAAGCAUCUAAGUGAGAAACUAACCUCGAGAUGAGAUUUCCCAUUCGUCAGAAGUAAGACCCCUGAGAGACGAUCAGGUAGAUAGGCUAGAAGUGGAAGUGUAGUGAUGCAUGGAGCGGACUAGUACUAAUAGGUCGAGGACUUAACCAAG